ensembl:lncRNA novel transcript, antisense to KRT86
GCGCAGCCGCGACCUGGGUGAGUGGCUUUGCUGCGAGCCCACGCGCCCUUUGCCCAGAGGCUCCCAGACCCGCCCAGCGGGAGGAGGGGACGGACCCCACUACUUACAGACAUUCACCGAGCCGACGCCCUCGCACAGCCUGCAGGGAGAGAAGGCGAGAGGGCCAAGGGCCUGACUGUCCACAAAAAAAAAGGAGCUUCGAGUGAGACCAACUGACCAACUAGGGGAAAGAAACCAAGGGCAAAGAAUGAGCUCACAUUCUGGGAGUGUUGUCCUUCUGGGAGCAGGAGCUGUAUAGCUGCCCUCCAGCUGUAUCGCUGGCCUCCAGCCAUAGGAAGGCUGAGUGACCAAUGGGUCUUCUCCACUCCCCCCACCUCUGAAGCAAGCAAACAAGCAAAAAUCCUGAAAGCAAGGCAUAACUGCCCCAAGGGAUAAGUCCUUGCUCUCUGCCUAACUCAUUCCCACCUGCCACAAUGGAAUACCACUUUGGGAUGCUCAUUGGCACUAUAAUAGAAAAGCAUGAGUUGAUAGUGUCAUCUAUCUGAAGCUGUCCUUAUGGGAUACAUCUGAACUCCCAGGUCUAGAUGGGGCCAGGGCCAGACUAGGAAAAAGAGAAGGAAUCCU